GGAAAUACAGAUAUUUGAUGAUGAUACUGUAUGUGAAAACAGACUUCAGUGUUGAAAUGUGAUAUAAUGUUGUUAAUUUAGACUCUUUUCUUUAGCAGGCGGUGAUUCAUCAUCUCAGACUAGAGCAGGAAAACAUGAAGUGGUUUCUCACACUGCUUGUGAUUAUGAGGAGAUUCAAGACUCUCACAAACAAUUACCUACACACCCCUCUGAUUCAUCUAACACUGUUUAUGCCACAGCUCAGUUACCUACAAACCCCUCUGAUUCAUCUAACACUGUUUAUGCCACAGCUCAGUUACCCACAAACCCCUCUGUUUCUCCUGACUGUGUUUACGCUAGAGUUCAGAAAGACACUGGCGACUCUCAGAUCUUGAUCACAUCUGCUGAGGACCUGAAUUACUCCGUGGUGAAUUUCCAGAAGAAAGCAGACUGUCCUGACAGUGUUAGAUUGAGGAAUAAUCAGGAUUACAGUGAAUAUGCUGCUGUCAAUCAUCUCACUGACUGACGACACACAGCAGAUAAUCUCAUUGAACUGAAAGCUUUGAUUUUGGUUUCAGGCUUCCAUGUUUCGUAUUUUUGUUAUUUUUGUGGUUCUCCUCUGCUGUAUAUUUAAGACAGUCUUGCAGGUCAGACUUUUGACUGUCGACGUGAAGGAUGUUUAAAUGACAGAGCAGUGUUUUGUUUUGCAAAGAAAUGAUCAGAAACCCUUGCGUUUUUGGUCAGCAUUUGAUGUAAAUAAGUUCUGAAUAUUUCUGAGACAAAAGAAUAUGUGUCUGUGAUCAGUUAGUUUGGUUAACGUUAAACUACACGUCUGGCUACCUGCGGUUCUUGUAAAACUUUUAUUAAGUCUCAGUGUUUAAAAGUUCUCAAACUUUUACACAUGCAGCAGCUAUUGCUUUUUUUCCUCAGUGUUCAUUUUAAAAGCUUGUUAACUUAGAAAGGAAAAUUUAGUAAACCAAGAUGAAGUCAUGAUAUUGUAUUCAAAUAUGAUAUGAAUGGACUAUGGAAAGCUGAAAUGAUCAAAAAGCAAAACUUUUGUCCUCUGAGAUGAAGUGUGAGAGGGAGUUAUUUUGGUUAAAUAUUACCUGAAUGUAUAUGUGUACAUGAAUGAGUGAGUACAUUAAUUAAAAAAAUAAUAAUACUGAUGAUGUGCACAGAUAAAUAUUUUAUAAUGAAUACUGCAAUGUUCCAUAAAAAAGAACAGUGCAUUUUGAUUUCAAAGCUAUUUUAAUCAAUCAGCAAUGUGCUUAUUUGGUCACCAUGGUAACCGCUGAUGGUUGCAAGUUUGUCCUCUAGAUGUCGCUGUCAAUUUACAGUCUUUGAGAUUCUAGUCUGAAUAAAAAUUCUGGGUAUAUUUUUGUA